GGAACAGCACUUUCAAGUUGGCAUUUUGAAAACAGAAAAGGAAGGGCAGAAAACCUGUCAAAGCAAAACACAGCAUCCAGAACUGAUGAAAUGAUGAAGAUAGAUACACUUCCAUUUUCUUUUCUGAAGCAUGGAGAGUAAAAUAUUACUUCAGUGAACACCCCCAAGAGAAGCGUUUUGUGAGGGCUCCCACUAGGUCACCAAGCUUGUAAGUUUCUGUUUGGAAGCUGCUUAUCUACCAUCUGCAGAGCAGGCUUGGGGGAAAGAGGCCCCAUGCUGUGAAACAAAGCUGCUUAGUGUCUGCAUGGGCACCUACAAGGCAGUUACUGACUGUUCCCUUGAUUAAAAAUACUCAAAGUAUUUUCAUUUAAAGUGAAAAGAGAGAAGCUGAGGAGCAGCAGGUGUAUUUAAGGCUGCAGGACUCUCCAGGCAAUUGCACUCAUUAUCUAGGAACACCUCACUGAUGCCCUGCUUCCUCUCCCAGCACAGUUCUCUGACUGCUUUUUCCCAGGAGCAAUCCAGGAUGUCUUUGCCUGCAGUUGGAUAGCAUCUACCUCACACACAGCAUAAUGUUCAGUUCCCCAAGUGGUUUGGGUUUGGCUGCUCUCUGAAGAUGGCAUCUUACGCUUUUGUCUCCUUGCUAGUAAUUGCAAAAGCAUGGGGGAAGAAAUCUUUAUUCCAAUUGUAAAAUUAAGUUCAAAACGACAGCCGAGUUAGUUAGAACAAAGGCUUCUCUGGUCCAGUUUUUUCCAAGAACAUUGUAAAAGAAUGAGUUUUGGGAUUUUUGUUUGUUUUAUUUUGUUUUUAAUGCCUGUAGUACCAGAGACUAGAUUUGGGACUUGCUUCAGUAACUAAGUUAGCUCUUCACCUGGGUUCAACAUCUUUUCCAAUUAUGCCUCAGCUCAAGCUCUUAGAAAAUGAGACUUCUAAAUCUGCUGGGCUGUUGUAGCAGUUCCAAGAGCUAUCUGCAGCCAAGCACCUUAGAGGCUACCUGUUAGCUUAGAGAUCAUGCAUAUUCCAAUGUUCUCUGGAGUUUGGAAGAUUUCUGUAGUAUCUAGAAGCUUCCAGAGCCAGAGAACUCACUUUGUUCUCAGAGGCAGUAUGUGUCAUUGUCAGACAAAAAGCAAUUGAUUUGUGUGUAGCAAGCCCACUGUGGGUUCAUGUCUCAGGAGCUUUCUAAUUAUAGUAUAUGUUUCCUUCCCAACCACUAUUUUAUCAUGAACUGAGCUCUCCUUUCUUGUCGAUUUUCUCCCAACCUUUGUCUUCCUUUGAACCCUGCCAUCCUUCAUUACUGAGGAAAGGAAGAUUGUAGUGGUGUGUGACUACAGACUCAACUCUGAAGCUCUGAGGCUUUCAUCUAGCGGAACUAUAUUGAGAAGCUGACAUGAUGAGUCCACAAAACAGGGAAAGUUCCCUGGACUGAGAACAUGGGCAUAGUGUGAGCUCAGCCGAGCAGAAUGAAAAUCUUCUUGGACUGUGCAACAUGUUUCACCUCAAUUAAGCUACAGGAACAUAAUUUCUUCUAGAGAUUUGGGCAUUUCCAUUUAGACUGACUUUAGAGCCUCCAGGAUCCACCUGUCUUCAACUUCCUAGGACUGGAAUUGUGAACGUAUCCUAACAUGCCAACUCUUCCCAUGAGUGCUGGGAAUCAAAUUCAAUUCGUCAUGCUCGGAAGACAAACACUUUACUGACUGAAGCAAGAGGCAAACAAAAAUUAAUAAAAAUACAAAACACAAGCGGUUUGGGAUGAACAAGGGGAUCCACGACUGAAGCAGGGGCAUGUGGAGCUGAAGGGUGAAAGUAAGUGCAGCAUCAAGAGCACCCUUUAGCACCAGCUAAGCCUGGAGCUUCUAUUUGAGAACUAGUUUGAUUUGUCCAUGUUCGAUGGCAUGGGUAAGUGGUGUCUUCAGCAACAGAGCUUUGCUAACAGGUUGUGGAGAGUAGCCAGUAGCUUUGCAGUAUUGUGCAUACUUGUGGUAUUUAAGGGGUCUAAUGAGCAUUUUUGUCCAACAGAUCAUCAAAAUUUAAUCUAUUGCUUCACUGAAUGUUUUUCUUGAUGACAAAAUAUGUCAAGUCUUCUUUAUUAUAUGCUGCCUACAUUUUAAUUCAUUUAAAAUAUGUAUAUAUUUAGAAAUCUUCUACAGUGGUAGGUUUCUAUGUGGCUGUUUCAAGCCUUUAGUGUUAGUUGUCCAUCUCUAUGUCCCCUUUCCCCCUACUCUUUCAUCCCUCUUCCCAGUUAAUCCUGCUAUCCCAGUUUCCUGUUGUCUCUUCACAGCACUGUUAUAUUUCCCUAAUAUGUCUCAGUAGCAUUGAUCUUAUUGGCCUGAAUCUUCUCUUCUCCACAUGCUGAGCUAAGAUAUGUACAAACAAAAGGAAGUGGUAAGGUUUUGAGUGAGUUCCUCUGUAUUCCUGGCUUCGUCCUCUUCUUCUUCCUCCUCCCUCUCCUCCUCUCCUCUUUCUUCUCUUUCUUCAAAUUCUUUCUUCUUCCAGGGUUCCUCUAAAGAUAUAUCAAGUACUUCCAAUGUUCUCUAACCUAAAAAACGAUGUCAUUCUUUGUUGUAUAGUAUGCUUUAAAAGAACUACCUAUAAGCAUAUCUCCCACCACCCUGUGUUUUAGUUCUAUAAGAAGAUCCUUCCCAUGGGCAAGCACCAAUCCCUGACAUUAUUGAUGAAACUCUGUUAUGCUUGCAGAGAGGAGCCUCGCAUGGCCUUCCUUUGAGAGGCUCCAUCUAAGAACUGACUCAGAGAGAUGAAAGCAUUGGAUGGAGUUUGGGGACUCUUAAUGGAAGAAUUGGAGGAAGGAUUGAGUAAUGGAAUAGGAACUCCAUAGGAAGAUCAACAGAGUCAACUAACCUGGAAUUGUUGGAGGAUCUCAGAAACUGAACCACCAACCAAACAACAUACAUGGGCCCGACCUAGAUCUGCAGAUGUGCAACUUGGUCUUCAUGUGGGUUCUGAACAAUAGGAGCAAUGGUUCUCCCUAAAGCUGUUGCCAGUCUGUGGAAUUCCAGAGUAUGUUUUAUCUAAGGAUGAAUUUAUUCAUUAAUUGAAAAAAUGCUUCUUCCUAGCCACUGCACUAACAAGGCUUUCUUGCUGCCUGUGGGUUCUCUGCCUUGGAUGGGGAAUUUUCAUCUGCCAUGUAACAUUACAAGCCUCACUGAGCCUCACUGUCACUGCUCUGUUAAACAAAGGCUCUUUGUCUUUGACUCCCCUCACCAUUCAUACCAGUCUCCCCCCUCCCACAGCCUGUCAUCCUUUACUGUUUCCAACAUACACAAUAAACUUUGAUUUAUCUAACACACACACACACACACACACACAUACACACACACACAUACACACACACAAACUUAUUUGUGUGCUGGAAGUGUAUGUCAGUGGUUAAACAUGCACAUGACUAUAAUGUACACAGUACCCUGAGCUCCAUCCCCCAACACCACAGAAAAUUUUGUAUUCUGUUUCAAUUUUAUAGUCAUACAUCAUUCGCAUUUCACCAGAAAAGGAUUCUAAGAAGUUAAUGACUAUAAUGUAUGUACAACUGAAUAAUAGUAACACAAAACACAUUGCCUAUUGUACAUACUCAGUGUUUGCUUAGUGAAUGGAUAGAUUCACUAAUUAAUAUGCAUCUGCAUAUUAAUUGCAUGCCAGGAGAAAGUUAAGAAUUCCAUGUGUUUUGUUUUGUUUUGUAUUUUUAAUUUUGUCAUCAUAACAAUUUUAUGGGCAUGAAUCAUUAGUCUCAUUUUAUAGAUAAGGAAACAACCUAAAAUAUUGUGAUAGUCUAUCCAGAACACCGUUAACAAACAAUAUUGUGAUUUGAUGUUUUAUUAGCCAGUCAUACUAAUGACAUUUAUAAUCCAGUUAUCUAGUAUUUAUUGAAUCAAUGCUAUCAUACAUUGCUCUUUCACACAGCUGGAAGGCGAUGGUUUCUUGUGUUCAUUAGGUGUGCUCUUUAACAUGUCCUAUGAAUAUGACAGUCUGAAUGGCGAUAAUAAGAGUUUGUCUUCUCAGUUCUUUACUUAUCUCCCUCCCUAGCCAACUGAGGAAGUAAACAUACAGAAAAGCUUCUCCUUUUCUGGAAACAGUCUGAACAAAAUAAAAAUCUCCUUAUAUCUCA
rnacentral:sRNA from 1 species